CAGUAGCCGCGGGAAUACGUAGGUGGCAAGCGUUGUCCGGAAUUAUUGGGCGUAAAGGGCUCGCAGGCGGUUUCUUAAGUCUGAUGUGAAAGCCCCCGGCUCAACCGGGGAGGGUCAUUGGAAACUGGGAAACUUGAGUGCAGAAGAGGAGAGUGGAAUUCCACGUGUAGCGGUGAAAUGCUUAGAGAUGUGGAGGAACACCAGUGGCGAAGGCGACUCUCUGGUCUGUAACUGACGCUGAGGAGCGAAAGCGUGGGGAGCGAACAGGAUUAGAUACCCGAGUAGUCCCUGUCUCUUAUAA
rnacentral:rRNA from 1 species